GACGAACGCUGGCGGCGUGCCUAAUACAUGCAAGUAGAACGCUGAAGGAGGAGCUUGCUCUUCUGGAUGAGUUGCGAACGGGUGAGUAACGCGUAGGUAACCUGCCUGGUAGCGGGGGAUAACUAUUGGAAACGAUAGCUAAUACCGCAUAACAGUAGAUGUUGCAUGACAUUUACUUAAAAGGUGCAAUUUCAUCACUACCAGAUGGACCUGCGUUGUAUUAGCUAGUUGGUGGGGUAACGGCUCACCAAGGCGACGAUACAUAGCCGACCUGAGAGGGUGAUCGGCCACACUGGGACUGAGACACGGCCCAGACUCCUACGGGAGGCAGCAGUAGGGAAUCUUCGGCAAUGGACGGAAGUCUGACCGAGCAACGCCGCGUGAGUGAAGAAGGUUUUCGGAUCGUAAAGCUCUGUUGUAAGAGAAGAACGAGUGUGAGAGUGGAAAGUUCACACUGUGACGGUAUCUUACCAGAAAGGGACGGCUAACUACGUG
rnacentral:rRNA from 1 species